AGAGUGAACGCUGGCGGCAGGCCUAACACAUGCAAGUCGAACGGCAGCACAGCAGUAGCAAUACUGUGGGUGGCGAGUGGCGGACGGGUGAGGAAUACAUCGGAAUCUACCUUGUCGUGGGGGAUAACGUAGGGAAACUUACGCUAAUACCGCAUACGAACUAUGGUUGAAAGCGGCGGACCGCAAGGCGUCACGCGAUUGGAUGAGCCGAUGUCCGAUUAGCUAGUUGGCGGGGUAAAGGCCCACCAAGGCGACGAUCGGUAGCUGGUCUGAGAGGAUGAUCAGCCACACUGGAACUGAGACACGGUCCAGACCUCCGUACGGGAGCAG
rnacentral:rRNA from 1 species